rnacentral:rRNA from 1 species
CCUACGGGUGGCAGCAGUGGGGAAUAUUGGGCAAUGGAGGCAACUCUGACCCAGCAACGCCGCGUGAAUGAUGAAGGUCUUCGGAUUGUUAAGUUCUGUGAUGGGGGAUGAACACAAUGACGGUACCUUAGGAAUAAGCCUCGGCUAACUACGGGCCAGCAGCCGGCGUAAUACGUAGGAGGCAAGCGUUAUCCGGAAUGACUGGGCGUAAAGGGUGCGUAGGGGGUUUGACAAGUUGGUAGCGUAACUCCCGGGCUCAACCUUGGCACCACUACCAACACUGUCGGACUUGAGUGCAGGAGGGGGAAAUGGAAUGCCUGGUGUAGCGGUGGAAUGCGUAGAUAUCAGGAGGAACACCAGUGGCGAAGGCGAUUUGCUGG